rnacentral:lncRNA from 1 species
GAAGGGGUGUGAAUUUGUUUUUGGAUUACAGAAGACUGGAUAACUCCUCCCACAAUCGACAGCAAGACAUACACGUGCAGUGAGGAUAAAGUGGUCAUGGCCCUAGCCAAAGCAAAGCUUUGGUAAUUUCGCAUCAGAGCAAUUUCGACGGCAUAGAAAAUACAGGUUCGAGGUGUUUCCUCCCAUGUACGCUCUGCCACCUGGCAGGCCUUCUCCAGUACCCAAACUGUAACAUUUGGAUUUUCAGCCCCCAAAGGUGUGGAACAAACUGCUUUACAUACAAAGGUACCCUACAACCAGUAUUCUAUUAUCGUGAUGAAAAAC